rnacentral:rRNA from 1 species
GUAGGGUCCGAGCGUUAUCCGGAAUCAUUGGGCGUAAAGAGCUCGUAGGCGGUUCAGCAAGUCGGCUGUGAAAGUUCGAGGCUCAACCUCGAAAUUGCAGUCGAUACUGCUGUGACUUGAAUUCGGUAGAGGAGAAUGGAAUUCCCGGUGUAGCGGUGAAAUGCGCAGAUAUCGGGAGGAACACCAGUAGCGAAGGCGGUUCUCUGGGCCGAUAUUGACGCUGAGGAGCGAAAGCGUGGGGGGAGCAAACAGGAUUAGAUACCCUGGUAGUCCACGCCGUAAACGUUGGAUGCUAGGUGUGGCGGUCUACCAACGACUGCCGUGCCGAAGCUAACGCAUUAAGCAUCCCCGCCUGGGGAGUACGGCCGCAAGGCUA